rnacentral:rRNA from 1 species
AUUGAACGCUGGCGGCAGGCCUAACACAUGCAAGUCGAGCGGCAGCAGAGAGCUUGCUCCUGGAUACGGCGGCGGACGGGCGAGUAAUGCCUAGGAAUAUGCGAGGUUGCGGGGGAUAGCGUCAGGACGUGGGCGAUCUUACCGCAUAAGUGCAGAGGGCGUACGUGGGGGAGCAUGGGACCUUCCGCUAUCGGGUGAGUCAAGGUCGGAUUAGCUAGUUGGCGGGGUAAAGGCCUACCAAGGCGACGAUCCGUAGCUGGUCUGAGAGGAUGAUCAGCCACACUGGAACUGAGACACGGUCCAGACUCCUACGGGAGGCAGCAGUGGGGAAUAUUGGACAAUGGGCGAAAGCCUGAUCCAGCCAUACCGCGUGGGUGAAGAAGGUCUUCGGAUUGUAAAGCACUUUUGUUGGGGAAGAAGGGCAGCAAGUUAAUACCCUGCUGUUCUGACGUUACCAACAGAAUAAGCACCGGCUAACUUCGUG